UACGAAGGGGGCUAGCGUUGCUCGGAAUCACUGGGCGUAAAGCGCACGUAGGCGGAUUGCUAAGUCAGGGGUGAAAUCCUGGAGCUCAACUCCAGAACUGCCUUUGAUACUGGCGAUCUUGAGUCCGGGAGAGGUGAGUGGAACUGCGAGUGUAGAGGUGAAAUUCGUAGAUAUCUGGAGGAACACCGGUGGCGAAGGCGACAUCCUGGACCGGUAUUGACGCUGAGGCGCGAAAGCCAGGGGAGCAAACGGG
rnacentral:rRNA from 1 species